rnacentral:tRNA from 1 species
GGAAGGUUGGGCACGGGCACGCCAAGCAGUCUUGAAAACUGUCGGAGCCUCAAACUCCUGCGAGUUCGACUCUCGCACCUUCCGCCA